GGGUUUAAGGGAUAUAAUUUGGGGUUUAAUACUAAAGUUCAUAGUUAAGGUUUUCAAAAAUAAAGUUCUGAAUUUAUGAUCAAAAUGACUAGAUUUUAAUUUUUAUAAGUGGUAUAAAAAUAAGGAUUAAACUUUAUGAUUAGCCAAAAAACAAAAUUAUGUGUUCUAUCCUCUUCUCAAAGUUUAGUGUUUAUGAUAUAAAUUUUAAAGUUUAGAUCUUAACUUUUUAAGUUUGAAGUAUAUUUUGCGUCUGUGGAAUAUGAUUAGGGGAAUAGUGUUUGGGGUUAAGAUUUGAGGUUAUAGUGUGAAAAUAAGAUUUGUGUUUAGGAAAUUACAGUUUAAGAUUAAGAUGAUUAAAUUUUGAAUUUAAUUUUAAGAUUUGAAGUUAUAAUAUUAAAAGAUUAGAGUUUUAAAGGUUGUCUUUAUAGUUUAGGGUUUAAAAUCAUGUUUAGGGUUUAGGGGUUCAAAUAGCUUUUCUUAGCGUUAGAAAAAAUGCUAUUAUAUGUUUUUGAUAGCAUUGCUGAAGCCGAUUAAAUAAUUCAUUUGGCGCUUAAGUUUAAUUUCACGAUAAGUAUUGGCGGAAUCAAUGAUUUUAUCUUCCCAUUCCCUUAAUUUUCUGAAUAGCAUUAAUUAAGUGUUAUUUUAGGUUCCAUUCUAUCAUAGCAUUCAUCUAACGCUAUUAUAUAAUACGGAAAUUUCUAAAUCAUAGACGAUAGUAGUUCAGUAAAACGUGCUAUAACAAUCUGCUAUCAAUGUAGAUUUUUUCGUAGUUAACAGAUAGGAAGGCUCUGUGCGGGUCAAAGUAAUUCUGAGUUGAGAAGCUCUUCCAGUUUUUUUCGCAAGACUCGGUUGAGACUCUUUGCAAAGUAUAUAUACUCCACCCACUGCAAUUGUGUUUGGUCACAUGAUCAUUAUCAUUUACAUAUGCAACUAGUUGAUGUGCGGACUAAUAUAUAUAUAUAUAUAUAUAUAUAUAUCUACCAAUUUUUAACUAAUAUUUAUUUAUAAUAAAAAUUAUUAAAUUAGAUAUAAAUUUAGAUUAAUAUUAUAAUUAUGAAACUUCAAU
rnacentral:lncRNA from 1 species